AUCCAGUCCCCAAGAGAGGGUUCUUGGAUCUCGCGCAAGGAAGAAUUCAGGACGAAUCUAUAAAAUGAAAGCAAGUUUAUUAAGAAAGUAAAGAAACAAAAGAACCAGUACUCCAUAGGCAGAGCAGCCUUGGCUUGCUUCUUUGUGAGGGUGGCCCACGGAGGGGCAGCAAGGCUGGUGAAUCACCUCCCUGGCUAGUUCCUCCAAGGCAGAGCUGCCAACCAAGGCCAACUUGGUUCAGCACACAGAAUAUUUACCACGAAUCUAAGAGUUUGCCAAAAUUUCAAAAUCAGGAGAUUUCACGCAAAAAGUUGGAAGAUGUGACCGCCCUGGGCCCACAUUCCCGCCUGGCCUGGCACUAGCUGGGUGGGGCUGAGGAGUAGCUGCUCUCCAAGAGCCCUGCUCGCCAAACCUCUCCUCCCCUUUCCCCCAUGCUACCUCACUCACUGCUGUCUGUGUGCUUGUCCCUUUCACAUUUGCAUUUGCAAAGCCUGUUCUAACCUAACAUGGUUUCCGUAGUGAUCUUUAAACAUUAAAUUUGAAGCUAACAAGGAACAGGUUCCCUCAAAAUACCCCAAGAUGACUUUCUUGCCAAUAUUCCCUGAACUCUUUACAAAGUGGCCAGCAAGGCACCUCCCCAAGUGGAGUUAAACUAUGUAAAUGUACACAAAACAAGUAAGAUUGGAAAUAUCCAAAUGUUCAUCUCCAGUGAAAUAACUUUCCAGCCAGAAUCAGUAAGAAGCAGCUAAGCCUAACUAACUACAGAUCUGAUCUGUGGUUCUUGAUUUUUCAUACGUAUAAAAAUCUCACCGGACGUCUUGCUGAGCCUCACCCCCAAGAUUCUGAUGCAGGAGAUGUAGGGUGGGGCUGAGAAUUUGCAUUUCUAAUAACUUCGCAGGUAGUGCUGCUGCUGCUGGCCCUGGACUACCUUUUGAGAAUCACUGAUGCAUGCCACUCAAAAUGCAGUCCUCAGGCUGGGCGCGGUGGCUCACACCUGUAAUCCUAGCACUUUUGGGAGGCCGAGGUGGGCGGAUCACCUGAGGUCGGGAGUUUGAGACGAGCCUGACUAACAUGGAGAAACCCCGUCUCUACUAAAAAUACAAAAUUUGCCGGGCAUGGUGGUGCAUACCUGUAACCUCAGCUACUCAGGAGGCUGAGGCAGGAGAAUCGGUUGAACCUGGGAGGCAGAGGUUGCAGUGAGUCGAGAUCAUGCCACUGCACUCCAGCCUGGGCAACAAGAGUGAAACUCCGUCUCAAAAAAAAAAAAAAUUUAAUUUAAUUUAAAAAAAGCAGUCAUCGGGCUGCAAGCCUGGCAGCUUGUUAGAAAUGGAGACUCUCUCAGCCCUUCUCUAGACCAGUGGAAUCGGGGGGCUGCAGGUGAUUAGUAGGAAUGUGAAAUUUUCAGAUGCACUAGACCAACUCAUUGUUCCCAAACCUUCCUGGUCAAAACAACUUGGGGCAUUUGUUGAGUCUACAGAAUGCCAGGCCUUUCCCUUAGAGAUUCUAAUUCAGAAAUCUACUUUUGGCAAGCACUCCAGGUAAUUCCUGUCAUCAGGGAAUUUUAGGGAAAACAGGCUAAUGGUAUUAAUACAUCUAAAGAAAGAAUAUGUCAACAAAAUGGAGAUGAGCAAGUGAAGGAGGAAGAUGGGAAAUCUGAGGGGAGAGAACUCCUAGCGUGUGUCUUCAACCUGUAGCCCCCGUAUGCGUUCCUUUUGCAGAGAGAGAUGUUAUCAAAUUGUCGUAUCCUCUGCAGAACCAAACCAUACACCGUAUUCCUUUUAUUCGGGCCCCUUCUCAUCAAGGAACCUCGUCAUUAUAAUUUGGCUUCCAUCCUCUUUUCACCCCGGGGGAAACACGCAAGCCAGAGCAAUAUAAAUAUUCUGAUUUGAGUGAGAGGUACAUUUCUCCCUGUGAAUCAAGAAAUCAUAAAAAGGCCAGGCACAACGGCUCACGCCUGUAAUCUCAACACUUUGGGAGUCCGAGAUGGGAGGAUCGCUUGAGCCCAAGAGUUCAAGACCAGCCUGGGCAACAAAGGGAGACUACAAAAAUAAAUAAUAAAUACAUAAAAAUUAGCUAGGCAUGGCAGUGCAUGCCUGUGGUUUCAGCUACUUGUGGGGCUGAGGUGGGAGGACCACUUGAGCCCAGGAGGCUGAGGCUGCCAUAAACUGUGAUGAUGGCCACUGCACUCCAGCCUGGGUGACAGAGCAAGACCCUGUCUAAAAAAAAAAUAGAAGUAAAAAAGAAGAAAUCAUAAUUAAAUGUUACAUUAUACUGUUGAUACAUUAUACUGUUUGUUUUAUUGGUGUAUCUAAGAAAUCAAGCCACUUUUGUUUUAACAGCAACAUAAAAUUUCUGUUUGAGAAAGAGACAAAUACUUUUGCCCAUAAAGGGGUUUCUUAAAUGUGGAUUCCACUGUGCAGUUUUUAACUUCUUUAAACAUUCAUUUAAGCAAGUCAGAUUUUCUUUGGAAAGGAGAAUUACAUUAGCAAAUAAUAAAAAUGUGCAAAAAAUGCAAGAAUAAAAACAUCUGAAAAAGCAGGGCUGAUGAUAAAACUUUCUAAACUAGUAUAUUCUUUCAGUGUUUAUAAAUGUAAUAUUGCCCUUGGUGAGUCACAUCUCUCCCAUUAAUCCAUCUCCCUAAUGUUCUAGGAGGAGGGUGAAAUUUUGUCCUUGUGUAUAUAAGACCUAAACUGUUACUGACCCCACCUCCUAAGUACAUUUCCCCAAAUUUCAGAUAUUUCCAAAGUCCUUUCAUGAAAUGCAAAUCUCUGAAUGUUGGCCCUCACUGUCUGUUAUUCUAUUCACCACCUAAUCCCAGAAUUUUCGUCUGGGAAGUUAACAAAUUCCUCAGCAACGUUGAAACAUAUUAUUUCUAUUAAGGUUUCAAGUGAUUAGUCUUCUUCUGUAAGUCAAACAGAGGAUCAGUUAGUCUGGAGAAAUGUUUUAAUAAAAGUCCCAUUCUAAAUAGAUUUUUUUUUUUUUUUUUGAGACAGAGUUUUGCUCUGUCACUCAGUGGCACGAUCACGGCUCACCGCAGCCUCAAACUCCUAGGUUCAGCCAAUCCUCCCAUUUCAGCUUCCCAAGUAGCUGGAACCACAGAUGCCUACCACUACGCCCAGUUAAUUUUUUAAAUUAUUUGUAGAGAUGGGGUCUCCCUGUGUUGCCCAGGCUGGUCUCAAACUCCUGAACUCCUGGGCUCAAACAGUCCUCCCGCCUCGGCCUCCCAAAGUGCUGGGAUUACAGGUGUGAGCCACUGCUCCCAGCCUGGCUGUUUCACCUUCUUAUCAUUUGUGUGUUCACUGGAGUAGCACUUUUAACUGCCUGCUUUCAAUAAUGGAAAAAACCGUAAUGCUUUUAUGACAUAGUUGGUCAUGAUGAAGGAAUAACUGGGAAGAGGGAGAAGCCCCAAAUUACCCUGUUUUUGUUAGUGGUUUUUUGUUUCUGUGGGAAGCUGGUUUUGGAAUAAGAAUUAUAUCUAAUCUAAUCUAACAGUUUAGCGAAAUGGUAGCGAGGGGUGGUAGAUACAGAGAAUGACGUCAGCCAUUCUUAGCAGGGAGGGAGUUAACGUCUGUGCUGUGGCUUGGAGGUGGCAGAGGAGAGUGCACACUUCACUUGGAACUCGCUGCAGGAGACUGAGCCAGUUAGAGGCACCAAGGCAUUCUGAGUCCCCAGGGAUCCAGCAAAUGGGAGACAAAUGUCAGGGUGACAAGGUAAUCAUUGGUAUCAGGGUUAUAAUCUCCUAAAGGCCCAGGCACCCCUUGGUCCAGAAGGCAUGGUGUCCCCAGGGACAUUCCCAGGGGUUGGGGGAGGGUGGGCAAGAGUGUUUCCACUCAGCCUGUGGCUUUGAGAGCUGACAGCUGUGGGCAGGGCCUCUUGUGAUGCCCUAUACUCCCAGUCUGGUGGGGAAAAACUACUAACCUCUAGGGGCAGCACCCUGGGGUCAGCCCUGAGGGAACAGUAUGUUAUUAGCAGGAGGGGACUGGUACCCUAAGGUUCUCCGCACUAGGCAAGGAGCAAAGCAUUUGGGGACAGCCAUCUCCUCUUCUACCACACAGUUUAAAUCACAUUUUCCUCUUCUGGGGUAUUUUGAAG
rnacentral:lncRNA from 1 species